rnacentral:rRNA from 1 species
GUAAGGAAUAUUGGUCAAUGGACGCAAGUCUGAACCAGCCAUGCCGCGUGAAGGAUGAAGGCCCUCUGGGUUGUAAACUUCUUUUAUCUGGGACGAAAUCCCCCUUUCUAGGGGAGUUGACGGUACCAGAGGAAUAAGCACCGGCUAACUCCGUGCCAGCAGCCGCGGUAAUACGGAGGGUGCAAGCGUUAUCCGGAUUCACUGGGUUUAAAGGGUGCGUAGGCGGGAAGAUAAGUCAGUGGUGAAAGCUUUCAGCUUAACUGAAAAAUUGCCAUUGAUACUGUCUUUCUUGAAUAUAGUUGAGGUUGGCGGAAUGUGUCAUGUAGCGGUGAAAUGCUUAGAUAUGACACAGAACACCGAUUGCGAAGGCAGCUGGCUAAACUAUUAUUGACGCUGAGGCACGAAAGCGUGGGGAUCAAA